GGUGAACGCAAGGCUCCUCUCGGUCUGGGCUGCCCAUUUUGUUUUCUCCUCUCCCCGAGUACGUCAUUCCCGUGGACCGGAAUCAUCCGCGUGCCACACACUGACCCUUGAGAAAUCUUUUUCUGAAAUACUUCAAGAAUGAAGAAAACAUGAAGCAUUAUUGUAGCAUCUUCAUCAAUUCUGCAUAUGAUGUAAUGAGACAAACACCAGACUGGUUUUAGCUCCAGCUCAGUUGUUGAACUCCAGAAAUUAGGCCAUUUCCACACGGUAAAACCCAAGCACCACCACCUACUGCCACCAGCCAGAAGGAUUUUUGAAGAGCAAAGACCUCAGCUUCUGCCUUUACUCCUGGCUCCAAGGGUUGCUGUCGUUAAAAGCUGCGGGCUUUGGAGAUAUGACUGAAUUUCUGCUUUAUUAAAGAGGGAAUAGGAGGUUUGGUGAGCCUCUAGCAGGUGAAGCUUGAAAUGGGAACUCGCGGAUUGUCUUCUGGGUGUGAUCCUCAUUCACUACACAUCUGAACAAGGCGGUUAAUGCCCCAUGCCACAUAGCUGCCCUUUUGCAGUGAAGCUGUAAAUUUCAGAAGAGAGAAGAAAGGAAGAAGGAGGUAGAGUCUGGUGAGAGGGCACCAGAGAACAUUUCCUUACUUCACAAUUUGCAAUGGCCUAGGUGGGAACUGAGUAGAAUAAUGUGUCUCUGCCUGGGACUUUGCCUGAGGUUCUGGCUAGGACCAAGGGAAAACGCAAGAAGGGCCGAUGGUCCAGAGGUGGCCAAUUUCAUUGAGGAAAUGUGGCGCCCCUCUCUGCCUGGGCCCCAAGGCCACAGGGUUAGCGUUCAGCCCACCCAUCAGGGUUCCCCUUACUAAGGCCUCUGCCAGGAAGACCUGGUGGAAACAUGACUCGGUAACAUUAAUUCUGGAAAGUCUCAUCUAGAACUCUCUGCAAAUUAUUUGAAAACACCAUUGUGGAACUGUUUGAAGAAUCAAGCAUCUGUAUUUAACAUGACUGCUGAUUGCAGCAGUCGGAAUAUUAGACUCAACAAAUAUGGGUCUACAUCUGAGACAUGAGAGACCCUGGCAAAUGGUUUAACCUCUCCGUGCCUCAGUUUCAUCAUAGGGGAUAAUAUAUCUACCUCACUGAAUGAAUGUGAGGCUCCGUUGAUAUAAUUUACUCAGAAGUCCACACAGCACCAAGUACAUAGACAGCACUCAACAAACAGUGACCAUUGGUAUCUUUUGCUAAAAUAUUUGCAACCUCCGCCACUUCAAUUCAUCUACAGCGGGCUUCUUCACUGAUAAGGAGGAGCCCUCCAGUGGGGUCAUGGGGCCCUCAGCCCAUUGCUGAUACGAGGCAGUUAAAUCAGAGCUACUUCUUGGCCUGAUCUAAAAAGUCAAGACUCAGUCCACAAAAGGCCAGAAUCACUGUGACAGCAACUGUUUAACACUUCAAAUAUUAUCUUCUUCCACCUUAAAAUAACCUGCUUAAAAGAGGGGAAAGUUGGUUCCAGGCUCCAACUCCUGAGAUUUUUAUUUAAAGAAAACCCCAUCUUUACUUGCAGCUGAGAAGCUGAAGAUUAAAAAUUAGCCAGUGUAUAGUAGCUGAGCAGUAACAAUUUUUCAUAAAGGAUUUUACUAUACAUUUGGGAUUAUAAUUUCAAUAUUAUGCAAAUACAUUUUAUGAAUCUGUAAUAGAGAAUGUGUACUGGCGUUAAUGUGUAUUAGCUGGUGAGCACAAAAAGGCUUCAAAUGAGCCAUUUUGGUGUCUGCUUUCAACAUGUAUUAUGAAUAAUAAGUAAAAGGGUCUGGUUUAGAACAAAUAAUAUAAAAUCUGAAUUCCUCUUGAUGUACACCAGUGACACAGCCCGACACAACUCCCAAGGAAUUCUUUCAUCAGACACAAUUAAAAACUGGCUCUCAACCAAUAUAUUCCUGUUUAUAGCUGCUCUUCUUGAAUGGGAUGUAAAAAGUAAAAUAAAUGCAUUUAAUAGGAAAAGGGGAUAACUUUUCCCUGUUGUUCAAAAUCAAGCAUUAACCAGAUGAGUGAGUUAAAAGGGCAUGACCCCUUAGAAGUCAAGAUAGUAGGACACUUUUUAGAGGAUAUGAGUAUUAAAAAAUGAAGACAUCUAAACAGGGUAAUAAAACUUGUGGCAUAUUUCAAAUUACUGGAAGUAACAAAUUUAAUGCCUUGAAUACAAAGUAGUUAAUGCAACAUAAUUGUGUUCAUCCAGAGAUAUUUAAAUGCCAUGUCAAUAACAUUUCUUCAAAGUAAGCUACAAACCUUGUGACCAAAUAUGAGGGCCCAGAUUGAAAGCUAUCUGACGUGUGUCCUCUUUCAACCCCAUCAGCCUGCUUUCAUGAUUAUAGGGAUAAACUGUAUUGAUUAAAAUGCUCAAAAGCUAGUGUGAGGCUCUUUAUAAAUGCCGAUUCCUGAGCCAAACAGUUCUCCUGGCCUCCUUGUGAUAGCCUCUAAAACACUGUUUCUUUGCUUUUAUUUUCACUUUUCAAUUUUGCUUGAUAACAAAGCAAAACUAAACAAUGUCAUAUCUAUUAAAGACAGUAACAUUAUUUUAGAAAUAAUCCAAAAUUUAUAUUUGUGUAUAUUUAGUUAGGACCUUGGAGGUCUACUGAUCCUGUUUCUUGAAUUUGUUAACACUUGCCCUGUUAUCUGACAGUAUGAGGAAGGGGGCUGGGGACAGGGGUCACAGGAACAUGGGGCAGUCUGGAGGAAGGCGAGAUUGCACUAUCCAAUGAUUAUGGGCUAGAUAUUCAGCUGAGGAAGAAGAAUGCAAAGAUUCUCUCUCUCUCAAACAGCCAUC